rnacentral:rRNA from 1 species
CAGCCGCCGCGGGAAUACGGAGGGUGCAAGCGUUAUCCGGAUUUAUUGGGUUUAAAGGGUCCGUAGGCGGAUCUGUAAGUCAGUGGUGAAAUCUCACAGCUUAACUGUGAAACUGCCAUUGAUACUGCAGGUCUUGAGUAAAUUUGAAGUGGCUGGAAUAAGUAGUGUAGCGGUGAAAUGCAUAGAUAUUACUUAGAACACCAAUUGCGAAGGCAGGUCACUAAGAUUUAACUGACGCUGAUGGACGAAAGCGUGGGGAGCGAACAGGAUCAGAUACCCGCGUAGUCCCUGUCUCUUAUAC